rnacentral:rRNA from 1 species
UACGUAGGGUGCAAGCGUUAAUCGGAAUUACUGGGCGUAAAGCGUGCGCAGGCGGUUUUGUAAGAUUGAUGUGAAAUCCCCGGGCUUAACCUGGGAAUUGCAUUUAUGACUGCAGGACUAGAGUUUAUCAGAGGGGGGUAGAAUUCCAAGUGUAGCAGUGAAAUGCGUAGAGAUGUGGAAGAACACCAAUGGCGAAGGCAGCCCCCUGGGAUACGACUGACGCUCAUGCACGAAAGCGUGGGGAGCAAACAGG